UAAGCGGAGGAAAAGAAACUAACAAGGAUUCCCCUAGUAACGGCGAGUGAAGCGGGAAGAGCUCAAAUUUGUAAUCUGGCACUUUCAGUGUCCGAGUUGUAAUCUCGAGAAGUAUUUUCCGCGCCGGACUGCAUACAAGUCUGUUGGAAUACAGCGUCAUAGUGGUGAGAACCCCGUAACUGAUGCAGAUGCCCGGUGCUUUGUGAUAUACUUUCGAAGAGUCGAGUUGUUUGGGAAUGCAGCUCAAAUUGGGUGGUAAAUUCCAUCUAAAGCUAAAUAUUGGAGCAAGACCGAUAGCGAACAAGUACCGUGAGGGAAAGAUGAAAAGCACUUUGGAAAGAGAGUUAACAGUACGUGAAAUUGUUGGAAGGGAAACGCUUGAAGUCAGACUUGCUAUUCGGAGUUCAGCCGCAAGGUGUAUUCUUCGAUUUGCAGGCCAGCAUCAGUUUUCGGGGGUGGAAAAUCGUGGUUUGAAGGUAGCAACUUCGGUUGUGUUAUAGCUUUCCACUGGAUUCAUCUUUGGGGACUGAGGAACGCAGUACGCUUUUUGCAAGGCCCUCGGSSUUUUCGUACUUAGGAUGCUGGUGGAAUGGCUUUAAACGACCCGUCUUGAAACACG
rnacentral:rRNA from 1 species